AAUGAACGCUGGCGGCGCGCCUAAUACAUGCAAGUCGAGCGAGAAGACGUAGCAAUACGUUUGUAAAGCGGCGAACGGGUGAGGAAUACAUGGGUAACCUACCCUCGAGUGGGGAAUAACUAGCCGAAAGGUUAGCUAAUACCGCGUACGCUUCUUGGACUUCGGUUCAGGGAGGAAAGCGAUGCCGAGGGUAUCGCGCUCUUGGAUGGGCUCAUGUCCUAUCAGCUUGUUGGGAGGUAACGGCUCACCAAGGCUUCGACGGGUAGCUGGUCUGAGAGGACGAUCAGCCACACUGGCACUGCGACACGGGCCAGACUCCUACGGGAGGCAGCAGUAAGGAAUAUUGCGCAAUGGGCGAAAGCCUGACGCAGCGACGCCGCGUGAGGGGAUGAAGGUCUUCGGAUUGUAAACCUCUGUCACCGGGGACGAAAGCCUUGAAUAAAUAAUUCAAGGCCUGACUUAACCCGGAGAGGAAGCAGUGGCUAACUCU
rnacentral:rRNA from 1 species